rnacentral:sRNA from 1 species
CCGUCAUUGAGAGAUGUGCACCAUGAGCCUGUGUACCCCCAGCCGCCUUUCAGCUACUCCGAUCUGUCUCGAGAGGACAAAAAGCAAGUACAGUUUGUGUCCGAGCCCUGCAGCCUCUCCAUAAACGGAGUGAUCUUCGGCUUGACGUCCACAGAUCUGCUUUUCCACCUGGGGGCCGAGGAGAUCAGUAGUUCUUCCGGAACUUCAGACAGAUUCAGCCGAAUACUCAAGCACAUCUUGACCCAGAGGAGCUGCCUGUCACCCCAGAUGUCCUCAUCAUCCCGUCAGAGCUGAGGUACUUUGUGAAGGAUGUCCUCGGCUGUGUCUGUGUGAACCCUGGGCGCCUUACCAAAGGGCAGGUGGGAGGCACCUUCGCCCGACUCUACCUUAGGAGGCCGGCAGCGGACGGGGCAGAGAGGCAGAGCCCAUGCGUUGCUGUGCAGGUCGUCAGGAUCUGAGGCUUCUGUCCUCUGCUGUUCUCUGCUGUGUGGGCCCUUAAAGUCUUAGCCAAGAGCCAAGACAUAGCCCUGUGACAAGGUGAACAGUUGGGUGGGAAAGGAGAGAGGAGCCAGCCAGGGAGGGGCAGCUGCAGUGACCAGGCCCAGCAGGGAGGACUUGUGCAGCCGGGCCUGCCUGUGAGUGGUGCCUCUCCUGGAAGGAAGCUCUUGCUUCUCAGUCCAUGCUCCAUGUCCAGAAGUAAGCCAGCUGUGGAUCCCGCCCACUCAGAAAAGGCGAGAAGGC